rnacentral:RNase_P_RNA from 1 species
GAAGCUGACCAGACAGUCGCCGCUUCGUCGUCGUCCUUUCGGGGAGACGGGCGGAGGGGAGGAAAGUCCGGGCUCCAUAGGGCAGGGUGCCAGGUAACGCCUGGGGGGGAAAACCACGACCAGUGCAACAGAGAGCAAACCGCCGAUGGCCCACGCAAGUGGGAUCAGGUAAGGGUGAAAGGGUGCGGUAAGAGCGCACCGCGCGGCUGGUAACAGUCCGUGGCACGGUAAACUCCACCCGGAGCAAGGCCAAAUAGGGGUUCAUAAGGUACGGCCCGUACUGAACCCGGGUAGGCUGCUUGAGCCAGUGAGCGAUUGCUGGCCUAGAUGAAUGACUGUCCACGACAGAACCCGGCUUAUCGGUCAGUUUCACCU